rnacentral:rRNA from 1 species
GGGGGCUAUAAUGCAGUCGAGCGGACAGAAGGGAGCUUGCUCCCGGAUGUUAGCGGCGGACGGGUGAGUAACACGUGGGUAACCUGCCUGUAAGACUGGGAUAACUCCGGGAAACCGGAGCUAAUACCGGAUAGUUCCUUGAACCGCAUGGUUCAAGGAUGAAAGACGGUUUCGGCUGUCACUUACAGAUGGACCCGCGGCGCAUUAGCUAGUUGGUGAGGUAACGGCUCACCAAGGCGACGAUGCGUAGCCGACCUGAGAGGGUGAUCGGCCACACUGGGACUGAGACACGGCCCAGACUCCUACGGGAGGCAGCAGUAGGGAAUCUUCCGCAAUGGACGAAAGUCUGACGGAGCAACGCCGCGUGAGUGAUGAAGGUUUUCGGAUCGUAAAGCUCUGUUGUUAGGGAAGAACAAGUGCAAGAGUAACUGCUUGCACCUUGACGGUACCUAACCAGAAAGCCACGGCUAACUACGUGCCAGCAGCCGCGGUAAUACGUAGGUGGCAAGCGUUGUCCGGAAUUAUUGGGCGUAAAGGGCUCGCAGGCGGUUUCUUAAGUCUGAUGUGAAAGCCCCCGGCUCAACCGGGGAGGGUCAUUGGAAACUGGGAAACUUGAGUGCAGAAGAGGAGAGUGGAAUUCCACGUGUAGCGGUGAAAUGCGUAGAGAUGUGGAGGAACACCAGUGGCGAAGGCGACUCUCUGGUCUGUAACUGACGCUGAGGAGCGAAAGCGUGGGGAGCGAACAGGAUUAGAUACCCUGGUAGUCCACGCCGUAAACGAUGAGUGCUAAGUGUUAGGGGGUUUCCGCCCCUUAGUGCUGCAGCUAACGCAUUAAGCACUCCGCCUGGGGAGUACGGUCGCAAGACUGAAACUCAAAGGAAUUGACGGGGGCCCGCACAAGCGGUGGAGCAUGUGGUUUAAUUUCGAAGCAACGCGAGAACCUUACCAGGUCUUGACAUCCUCUGACACCCUAGAGAUAGGGCUUUCCCUUCGGGGAC